CGCUCUGUCAAAAUUUCCUGACAUACUUUAUAUAUAUAUCAAACUUGCAACGUUUUCACGCGUCCAAUAAAAAUUAAAAUAAUCUUGUUUUAAUAUGUUUAAAGUUAUGCCCACUCAAUACUGUAAAAAAUUGCAAUACUACAUUAAAACAGUGGCUCAGUUCACGUAGUAACUAGUGUUUUUUUUUUUACCAAAUUUUCACAAUUAGCUAGGUGCGAGUGGCGGGUCCAUUAUCUCUGAAUUAGGUCGUUUAAAGAAUACUGAAACCGUAAUUUUCCAACCCAUAGGCUUACCCUUAUUAUAAGUUGAAAUUGAAAAACAAAUGAAUGUAGACGAUAAUAUAAUAUACAUUUGUUCAUUAAAAUUUAUUUGGGUUCGUGCUUUAAAUGAUUAACAACAUUAAAAAAAGUAACUUGUUACGAAACUGAUUGUUUCUCGGUGAGCCGCGCCGGCUAGAUCAUCGGUUUCUCUGGGUGUAGUCCCGUCCUUGGCCCGCAGUCGCCACAAUCGAUAACAACAAAACUACACGUCUGUAGCAAAAAAGAGUUACACAGCACUAUGCAACAUAAAACACAAAUCGAUAACACCAAACCAUCGGAACAUCAAACAGAUGAACAACAUAAACAGCUGUGACGAUAAGUAAAUGUAAACAACAUAGAUCGGGUCGCGGUUCUGGACACAGCGUACCCGCCCUACCAUAGGACGAUAACCUACUCGUCUCCUACAUUUUGGCCAUUAGAUGGCCUGCACAGCCUGUACCGGCUGAUACGCCCACUUUCCCCAUCAUAGAAAAUUUAGCCGGACAUUUCUCUCUUCAGGAUAUCUCCAAGCUGCUUUUUAUAAAUUCGUACACGCGACCAUUUCGGGCAUUUUAAACAGGUCCAUACGAUAAAUUGGGGCUUAUGACGUGUUGCAUCAUUUCAUAUUCAUGACAAUUUAUAUUAUUCUUUAAAAUUUUAAAA